CCCUAUGGGGUGCAGCAGUCGGGAAACUUCUACAAUGCACGCAAGUGUGAUAGAGCAAGCCAGAGUGCGAUUCUAUAAUUGAAUCGCUUUUAUGUAAUGUAAAAAGUUACAUGAAUAAGGACUGGGUAAGACUGGUGCCAGCCGCCGCGGUAAUACCAGCGGUUCAAGUGGCAGCCGCGUUUAUUGGGUCUAAAACAUCCGUAGCUUGCUUGGUCAGUCUCUUGUGAAAUCUGGCGUCUUAAGUGUCAGGCGUGCAAGAGAUACUGCCAAGCUAGAGACCGGGAGAUGUAAGGAGUACGCAUCGGGUAGCGGUAAAAUGCGUUGAUCCAAUGUGGACUAACGAUAGCGAAGGCACCUUACGAGAACGGAUCUGACAGUGAGGGAUGAAGGCUAGGGGCGCAAAACGGAUUAGAUACCCGUGUAGUCCUAGCAGUAAACACUGCACACUAAACAUCGGUACCUCUUCGAGAGGUAUCGGUGCUGCAGGGAAGCCGUAGAGUGUGCUACCUGGGAAGUAUAGGCGCAAGCCCGAAACUUAAAGGAAUAGGCGGCGGGAUACUACAACCAGUGACGCGUGCGGUUCAAUUAGAUUAUACACCGUGAACCUCACCAGGAUCGACAGCAGAAUGAAGGUCAGUCUGAAGGGCUUACCUGACACGCUGAGAGGAGGUGCAUGGCC
rnacentral:rRNA from 1 species